ensembl:ncRNA F47B10.12 ncRNA
CAACAACACAAACAGUUGUGUGCACACACGGGACGCUACGACACAUUGCGGACUUUGCCCUCUCCUUUGCACAAGAGGCUACGCGCAUUCAAUGCAAGAAUGAGAGGGUGGCAAUGAGGUGAUAC